rnacentral:rRNA from 1 species
GGACCAAGGAGUCUAGCAUGUGCGCGAGUCAUUGGGACUAGCGAAACCUAAAGGCGAAAUGAAAGCGAAGGCCGCGUUCCGCCUCCGGGCGGUUCGCGCCGAGGGAGGAUGCGGGUCGUCGAGGCGACCCGCCGCACUCCCGGGGCGUCUCGAGCUCAUCGCGAGCUGAGGCGCACCUAGAGCGCACACGCUGGGACCC